UAAGAUUCGCCUUCUUUACUCUUACUGAGUCGUUUGUUUAUCGUCUUAAAACGUGCAAACACACACCUUCUUUACAUUUCAGAUGUAAUUAAUGUGAUUCUAGGUGAAGAAUAUGUUCUUAAUCUGAUCCACAGCAACAUAAACCUGCUGGCAUGAAGUUCCCUCUGCUUGACUUUGUUUUGACUCACGCCUCAUGUGGAACGUCAUGAAGUUAAAGACAUCCCAAGAACCAGACAGGAAGUGAGAAGUGUGCCAGCCAGUGCAUUCCGUUUAUUUCAAAAUAAAACUUGUGUUGCAUCUUUCCGUC